rnacentral:misc_RNA from 1 species
GUGAAUCAUCGAAUUUUUGAACGCAUAUUGCGCUUUCUGGCAUCUCGGGAAGUAUGCCUGUUUGAGGGUCAGUAUUAAUAAUAAAUCGGUUUAGUUACAAAUUGUGUCGUUUUCGGAGUUUGGGUUAUCUUAAUAUUUUUGGUUAAGAGGCUUAAAAUUGACCUUUUUUGCGCUGUUUUAAUCGUACAUAAAUUUUUUUAAUUAGUCUAUUCUUAAUGCCAAAAUA